AAGAGACACUUGGUGUUCUUCCCUGUGGACGGGAUGUACCUUCUCUGAUCACCUGCCUUUGUUUUGUUGGCCUUUAUAACCUCAUAGAUUCUGACAGGAACUAAACGUUUGAUAAAGUCCAUGACAGACGGUGUCAACUAAUAGGAAGUUCUUGUUACGUAAUUGCUGAAUUAAGUAACCGGAUCAUACCCAUUUUAGGUUAAAACUACUAUUUAAAAAAAAAAAAAGGAGAAGCUGAAGUUGAGGAGGUUAACUCGAGUUUGUGCUAACGAAGAAGCUAACGGCUAACAGAACCGGAAGCUAUAACCAAAUGAAGCAGAUUUCUCUCAGUGCACCUGCGGUUAUGUCUGCGGUACGGAGGAUUCUGAACAUCUGUGUUGGUCUUCAUUGGCUGCAGUAAGCAGUGGUGCGGCGUGGAGGAGGUGUGGCUGGCCUUGAACGAGGUUUGUCCUGUUUCACCUGCUGCUGCUCAGCAUCAGUGACGAGGAGGACAAGGAGGAGCAGCCAGGAGCCGUGUGGAAGGACGCUCAUGUCGGCUGAGGAGACAUAGGAGAAGACGUCACCUCUGAUUCAGGUUCGUGAUACACAAGCUGACCACCAGAGGGCAGCAAAAGACCAGCAGCCCCCUUCGUCCCGUUAGCUACAACAGGCCACAAGUCCACUAAUCCACAGGAGCAGGGAACCAAUGAGAGACAGAGGGCGGAGUCACAGUAUUGGAGAUCACACAGACGUUCCGUCUUGUGUCUUGAACUUACAUCUAAUUCAAACGUCUUCAGUGCCGUCCUGUACCCUCCAGACACCGGGGGCAAAAAGCGAAGCACCUCUUUGACAAUACAGUCAACGUAGCACAAC